GAUAUCUGUAUGAUUGUCUAACUUAUGGAUAACCGUGGGAAAUCUAGAGCUAAUACAUGCAGUUAAUGGUCAGGCUUGCUUGGCCAAGCAUUUAUUAGUUUUAACCAAUUACUGCGCAAGCAGUAAGGUGAAUCUAGAUAACUUUGCUGAUCGCAUGGCUUUGCCAGCGACGUUUCAAUUGAGUUUCUGCCCUAUCAAUUUGUUGGUAAGGUAUUGGCUUACCAAGUUCGUAACGGGUAACGGGGAAUCAGGGUUCGAUUCCGGAGAGGGAGCUUGAGAAUCGGCUACCACAUCCAAGGAAGGCAGCAGGCGCGCAAAUUACCAAAUCUAGACAGUAGGAGGUGGUGAAGAGAAGUACUAAGUGGUGGUUAUUUACUACCAGCUUGGAAUGGACGUAAUUUAAGCAUUUCGAUGAGUAACUACUGGAGGGCAAGUCCUGGUGCCAGCAGCCGCGGUAAUUCCAGCUCCAGUGGCGUGAUUUAAAGUUGCUGCGUUUAAAACGCUCGUAGUUGGAUCAAGCGGUAACAGUUUGUAGUCUGCGGUUAACAUUUGACUGCUUC
rnacentral:rRNA from 1 species